rnacentral:tRNA from 1 species
GGUGGUAGAGCACGUGCUUAGCAUGCAUGAGGUCCUGGGUUCAAUCCCCAGUACCUUCA